UCCUGGGGAGAAAGGCAGGCCUUCGUUGGGGCUGGGUCUGCAGUGUCUCCAGGUUGCGGCCUUCCUUACCUCCAAGCCUGGGACACUCAGGGCAAAAAGAAAAGCCAGGGAAGCCCAUUGCUGUGCUGUUUGUUCCUUGGGUCCUGAGGUCCCUGGCCAUUCUGCCUUCUCUUCACCUUCCUCUUCUUAACAUUUCUUUGUCUGUGGUUUCCAGGGCUUUAGUUGCUGUAUUUAGCAGGAGGAAUAGGAAAAAGCACAUCGACUCUGUUUUCCCAGGAGCAGAGAUCUCUCAGGUGAGUUUGACUAGCUUUUUAUUGCAUACUUCUUUUUUUCUGAUAUAAAUCUUUAGGAGUUCCCAUUGCGGUAACGAACUCAAUUAGUAUCCGUGAAGAUGCAGGUUCCAUCCCUGGCCUUGCUCAGUGGGUUAAGGAUCUGUUGUGAGCUGCAGUGGAGGUUGGCAGCUGCAGCUCUGAUUUGACUUCUAGGCUGGGAAUUUGUACAUGCUGUGUGUGGCCCUAAAAAGACAAUAAACAAACAAACAAACAAACCUUUAUUUAAGCAACUUGGUAACAUUGAACUCUAAAUCCUUAAGACGUUCUUGUUUAUUUUUUCAUUAAAGCACAGUUGAUGUUUUCUUUUCUUUUUUCUUUUUUCUUUUUUUUUUUUUUUUUUUUUUUUUUGUCAUCUUUAGAGGGCUGCACCCUCGGUGUAUGGAGGUUCCCAGACUAGGGGUCUAAUCGGAGCUGUAGCCACCAGCCUACGCCACAGCCACAGCAACGAGGGAUCCGAGCUGUGUCUGUGACCUACACCACAGCUCACAGCAACACCGGAUCCUCAACCCACUGAGCAAGGCCAGGGAUUGAACCUGCAACCUCAUGGUUCCUAGUCAGAUUUGCUUCCGCUGUGCCAUGAUGGGAACUCCAAAGUACAGUUGAUUUAAAAUGUUGUGCCAGGAGUUCCUGUCAUGACUCAGCGUUUAACAAACCAGCGUAGGAUCCAUGAGGACAUGGGUUCAAUCCCUGGCUUCCCUCAGUGGGUUAAGGAUCCAGUGUUGCCAUGAGCUGUGGUGUAGGUUACAGACUCAGCUUGGAUCCUGUGUUGCUGUGGCUGUGAUGUAGGCUAGGGGUCUAAUUGGAGCUAUAUCCACCAGCCUACACUAGCAAGGCUAGGUCUGAGCCAAGUCUGCAACCUACACCACAACUCGAGACAAUGCCAGGCCCUUAAUCCACUGAGCGAGGCCAGGGAUCAAACCCUCAACCUCAUGGUUACUAGUCUGAUACAUUCCUGCUGCUCCACAAUGAAACAUCCAUGACUCUGACAUUUUUGAAAACUGUAGUCCAGUAAUUACAUAGAAUAUCCUUCAGUUAUAUAGAAUUUCCUCAAUGUAUGUGAUGUUUCUCAUGAUUGGAUUUGCAUUUUUUUUCUAGCAGGAACAUUACAUGAAUGCUCUGUCUUUCUCAGUGCAUCUUAUCAGGUGAUACGGUAUAUCAAUAGGACCCAUCACUGGUGAUGUACAGACAUUGAGAGCUUGAUUAAGGGAAAUCUCCCUAGUCCUCUCCAUUGUCAAGUUUUUCUUUUAAUUUUUGUAACUAAGAAGCACUUUUCGUGGGGAGAUACUUUGAUAGUAUUUGAAUAUCCUAUCCUCAAUCCAACUUAAGCCACAAGAGGCAGCAUCCAUUGACAAUUCUUGCACACAUCAGUUGUUGCCAAAAAGGUUGAAAAACUAUACUUUUCUUUAGGUGACUUAAGUUUAUUCCUUUUGUCUUGUAACCAAAAGAACCUGACUAAAGCCAAAGUUAGAAUGGAAUGUUUCUAUCAGGGGUUUGUAUGGCAAAGCCACUAAUUGGCCAACCCCUGGGGUCUCUCAGACUCUCUGCAUGGGUGCUCCAUUGGGGGGUGGGCGGGGUGUGAUGGUUUGGUGGCUGUAGCUCUGGAUCAUUUCUAAGGUGGCGGGGGGAUUGUUUUUGAGUGCUCUAGACUGGAUUAGUUACUGUAUUAUAAAUUCCUUACUAUCUUGCCAAACCUGUACUGAUACUUUGUUUUAGUAUAUGUGCUGCCAAGCAAGCACGGAUACUUUGUUUUAAUGUCUGUCUCCCUCCCUAGAGAGUAAGCUUUGGGACCUUCGGAAACAUAGCCCUUGAUCUAAGGGGUAGAAACUGCCGCAUGGAUUAAAGGAGAAAUGACCACGUCAAAUACGACACCUCUUUGGCUUGUCUCGCUGUGUCUCACGUCUCGGUUUUAUAUGCUUCCUCUGGCAUCUUUUUAUUAUAGUCUUAAUACUACCUGCACAUUUUGCUGAAAAGAUGCCAUUUUUUGGAGCCUGAAUUUGCCCUGCUCUGUCACUCAACACCAGUCCAGCCACUUUCCUGCAGGGGUAACAUUCAGUGUUGUGUGUUUUGCAGCUCCAGUGCCUGGCACGGUGUUUGAUAAAUAUUUAUUGACUGAGUGAGUGAAUGUAAGUAGGGGAGGCAGACAACAGUGGGUAGGGUCUGCGAUGUCCUGGCUGAAGAGCAAUUCUUGACUGUAAUGUGCUCAAAUCCAUCAGUGUUUCCCUUUAUGGUUUGCAGUUUCAUGAAUUUAAGAAAAUUCCAUGAAGGAGUUCCCAUUGUGGUGCAGCAGAAACAAAUCCGGCUAGGAACCAUGAGGUUUUGGGUUCGAUCUCUGGCCUCACUCAGUGGGUUAAGGAUCCAGCAUUGCUGUGACUGUGGUGUAGGCUGGCAGCUGUAACUCUGAUUCGACCCCUAGCCUGGGAACCUCCAUAUGCCGCAGGUAUGGCCGAAAAAGCAAAAAAAAAAAAAAAAAAAAAAAAAAAAA
rnacentral:lncRNA from 1 species